GCUCGGAAGAGUGAACUAGCUAACUGAAAUCAAUGUAAAUUUAUAGAUUGAUAACGUAAGGGAAAAUAAUGAUGUUACCUUACUAAUAGUGUUGUCCAAAACUGGUGCCAGAAGACUCGGUAAGGCCAGAAACGCAAACGUUAGUCGUCUUAAUCAGGCGUAAAGGGUUUGUAGGCUGCUUCCAAAUUCUCCNUUAUUAUAUAGCUUCCGYCUAAUAGAUUGAACUUAAANUUAAAUUUUAAGUAACAUCUUAUAGAUAUUGAAUAAUAAAGGAGGAAACUAAAAGCUAGAAUCAAAUAGAGGAUAUAUUAAAUAAUACUUAGAGGAGGUCUGAUAUCCUUAAAUACUAAGUGGAAUAUUAACGGCGAAGGCUUUUUUUCCAUUAAUGAUUGACGCUGAGAAACGAAGGUGAGGAAAGGAAAUAGGAUUAGAUACCCAAAAUACCCCUCUCUGUCAACGAUGAAUGGUGGUUGCUAGUAUAAAUUAUUAGUGGCGAUGUUAACACGAUAACCAUUCCGCCUUGUGAGUACGACUGCAAAGUUGAAAACCAAAAAAUUAGUCGUCUCGAAGCAAACGAAUNCAC
rnacentral:rRNA from 1 species